rnacentral:rRNA from 1 species
CACGGUAUGCGAGGUUGGUGGUUGAAGACCACUCCGUGGGAACGAACGUCUAUGGUGUAAUGGUGUGGGUGUCGAGGUGGGGUCUUAGGUAUUUCGGAGGUGUUGUUGUUACCCUCGAUUCGAAGGCUCGAGUCGUUAAAGUCCUACGACUACGGCAAAGAUCGAGUCUGGAGAGUUUGAUGUGCGGGACAACGCUCGACAAAACCCGACGUAGCGGCGGUGGGCGGCGCCUUAAAGCCGGCUAUAACAUCUACCACCCCCUGUUCUUCGUCCAGUUAGGUAAGGGGAGCGUCGCAUAAACCUGGGUUGUUACCGCGAGGUAGAUCACUAUGACACUUCUUUUCUAUCACCUCGUGUAAUAAGACGAGUCUCGGUUCGGUUUGUAGAGUCUACGACUUCUUUUCCUGUACGAACUAAUGAAUAUAUGUAGAGUCAUAGUCUACUCUCCCUAUGAGUGACACAGUAAUCCGGCGUAUCUCCCGGGAUUAUCGCUCUCGAAGUGCGUACGACAUAAGUACGCAAAGGUUGUCUUUCUUCUGUAACGUUUCAAGGUCUUAUCGAGUAUGAUAAAGUUACAAGAGCUGCUCGUACACUUUGGGCAAAGGAUACAUGCGGAGUGGCGUAAAACUUAGACUCCACCUUCUACUGUAAUAGGGAGAGAAAGCCUCCCCGCUCCUAAAGUUGAUGCCUCAGCUCAAAUACGACAACUAUAGAAAGGACCUCUGACGUAGGUCUCUCAGACACCUCCUACGUAAUCGGGUAGAAGUUUUCGACUAGUAGGUGAUGUUAAGAAAGUAACAAGUCCGUUGGAGUCCAACGACAGACCUAGUAUACCUAUCAGACAUGUCAGUGCGACGUCAAUAGGCAAAAGGUAGUUCAUUCAAGAGGGAUGUAAAACAAAAACAAGGGAAAGUCUCAGGGACUUAAUAUAUCUACAUAUCGUUUCGAUCUACUGCCCCUAGCAGCCGCCCCGGCUAAUGAUGUUAAAAGAACAAAGGACGUCAACUGCUGAAGUUUAAUAAGUUCCUCUCGUGCCUUAUGUUCCUACAUUCUGAAGACGUAAAAGUAGCUAUCCUUAAACCCUCAGUCAAAAAAAAAAAACUUUUCCCCCUGAGGGGCCGGAGACGUAGUCUCACUACGUAUGCCGGUAGAAUAAUUGGUUUAUUUCGUCACGCUUGUACCAAGGUUCCAGAGGUUUUCAUUACUUUUUCAUUUCUUUCGAGUGUGUCUCGGUUUUGCCCGAUCUUUGUGGUUGAUCGGUACUUUUCUACGGUGUUGGCCGACCGAUUUUGAUCCAUCCAUUUGAUUUACGGAUAGGAUAAUGUACUGGCGGUAGGUUUGGCCAACUUCUAUAGGGCUCGAUGGUAGAGGGUCGCCUUUCUAGGUCAUUGGUUUACGAGAGACCGGAGGCAGCCCCACUCAUCGCUGGUGCUUGCCUAGUCACGGCAUCAAGCCUUAUAUUGGACGUUUUUCACCUAUAUACUAUAAGACAAUUUUUGGUUUAGUAAAGACGUUCAGGUCUAUCAGGUGUAGUUUCGCGUUUGUGGUUGGGCUUACACAGAGAGAUUCAGUCCGAGUUAGGGUAAUUCGGUACAGGGUUUAUUACGCAAUUGUCUUAAGCCACCUAACUAUAAUUUUCGUUACACCUGGCAGACGGUUUCAUGAAACCGGUUGCCCGUUAGUUUUUUCUCUACAAACUAACAGAGUAAGGCUAGUGUCUUUGAUGUGGAUCAUCCAGGACAGGUUAAUGCGAAAUAGUUCAACAGGAACCAAUUUUAUUGAACAAAUACCUGUUUGGUGUAUUUGUGAAAAUAAAAGUUUCCUUAAACCCUCAGUCAUUUAAGACAAUAAUUACCCAAACCUUCUCCUUAGAACAAAGAUAGUACCUACCUUGUUGUUAUUCUCUAACUGUAUUAAUUUAUUCACAAGACUUUUGAACAAAGCGAAAACACAUUGAAGUCGAGUUGUUGAAUCUUGUAAGUCUUGGAACUUGGAAAACCCCUGGAUUUUUUCUUGGAUCAUUGACAACGUCAGAUUUUUUACUAGUCUUUUAUAGUAAACCACGUAAAGGUUUUGUCUUCGACUUCGAUCAGAAUGUCUUACUACUACUAAACAACAGAUUUUAGUCCUCUGUGUCUCAAGUUGUUGAGACUUUGAGGGAUGGGUACUGUCGUUCUUAUUACGUGUCGUUCGUGGUAUGAGCUAAAACAGUGUUUACGAACUACUUCAAGGUAAAAAUUGUUAAGGAAACACGGACAGAACACUCCACGUCUACACCUGUAGGUUUAAAGUAGGCCAAUGGCUCUCUACAGAGCUCGACGUAAAGCAGCAACUGGGGCAGCCGUUGGUCGACUACAUCUAGGACUCGGGAACACGAGACUUUGACUUGGACUUUACCUUGGAACGGUGUAGGCUUUCUCUCAAGAACACAACCACACGACACACACAGUAGAGUACAAAGAAGCCGAACCCGCUAGAAGACGGUACAGGUCUCACCCGAGGUGCUCCGUCACUGACUACUCGCUACAACAUUCCAGAGAGAAGAACAAGUCGUGCCUACUUACACAUAUCACAAUAUUCUUUUUACCUACACACAUCAGCCUAUAGGUCAUCCCGAGAUCCCUCGUAACCGAGGACGUGCGGUUUUUUGUAAAAACGUUUACGGUUUUUUUUUAUGAUUUUAUUUUAUUUUUACAUCAUAUAAAAAUGCAGGUUUACAAUAGACGUUUACAAAUCCACAUUUCGGAUUCGUAAAACUAGACACGUCCUUUUUGCAGUUUAAAAAGCGUAAAGAACUGGUGCAUUGAAACAAAAAUUAUAACUACUUUGUGAUAGCAAGACCAAGCGUAGUUUUAACACUCAACAGUGUGUUUUUAUAAUUUUU